rnacentral:rRNA from 1 species
UACGGGGGGGGCAAGCGUUGUUCGGAAUUACUGGGCGUAAAGGGCUCGUAGGUGGCCAACUAAGUCAGACGUGAAAUCCCUCGGCUUAACCGGGGAACUGCGUCUGAUACUGGAUGGCUUGAGUUCGGGAGAGGGAUGCGGAAUUCCAGGUGUAGCGGUGAAAUGCGUAGAUAUGUGGAGGAACACCGAUGGCGAAGGCAGCCCCCUGGGUCAACACUGACGCUCAUGCACGAAAGCGUGGGGAGCAAACAGG